CUUCCCCCCACCCCCCACACACACCCGGGCGAAAUAUGGAUUACGCGCGAAUAUUGUCACGACACCAACUCGCGUGGGUAACGCGCGAAAUAUGUGAACGCUCCCAGCAUUCUUUGCAACAACAGUUCGUGUUGUUGAACCGCGGAAGUUGAAUGAGGGCGCGGAAAAAAAGGCAGACUGAAAGGGAAGAACUUCGCUUGGAGCUGGAGAGCUUCAGUGUUGGCGAGCGAUUGAACUCGGAUUGCAGGGAAGGGGGCAGUUGAUUGAUUACUGAAUUCCUAAGCACAGUGGAAUUUCCUAAGCCAAGAAAGGGGUUUAGAUGAAGAUGGAAGGGCAUGGAUAUUUUCUGGAAUCUGCAGGUGUCCAUUCUGAAGACAAAAUACCUGAGGACAAGACAGGAGGAGGAUAUUAUCCACAAGCUUAUUCUAGAAUAAUGAUUUUUUUUUUUUUAUCCAGG